rnacentral:misc_RNA from 1 species
UGGAAUAUUCGCAGCUUCCCACCUAAACAUAGGAAGCAAGAAAAUCAGCCUGAUGCCAAAUGCCAAAUUACACUUAAGCUUCUGCUAAUAUUCCUUUAGAUAGUGCUAAAGCUAAUGCAAAAUGCACGUAAAUCUCAAACUUCAAAAUAGUAGAGUUAAACAACUGAUUGUUGCCUUAUGUUUAAUUUUGAUAUUUUAACAAGAGAUAACAAGCAAAAAGAUACAGAUACUUUACAAUCCUAGCUCUACAAUAUUUUCCAUUGCAUUUCAAUUGAAGUUCCAAAAAAUGGACCUGUUUCCAUAACAUCCAUGAUUUAUAUAUAUUCAAUAUGUCUGAACAUAUGGUUUGAUUUAAAACAGUGUUCAAAAUAAAAACUAAACUAACCAUAGCAGCAGGUUCAGUUCAGUUGCUCAACAUAUUGAGGGUUAUAAAUUAUAAUGCAAUGAGUAAAAUAAACCCAACUUUAAUCCCAACUAAUUGAGUUCAGAUGUAUGUACUCAAGAAUGAUGAUGCCACAACAGAUAUAACUCUUUGCAUGGUUAAAACUCACAUUGUCACCUCCUUUAAAUCUCCAAUUAUGCAAGUCAUAAUGCCAAAUGAAGUCACCUUCCAUUCUUUUCUUUUAUUCUCAUACAAGUUUUGUUCCAUUGAAUAAAGAUCUCCAUCUUAUAAUUAGGUCAUCAAGUACAUGGAUGCCGUCCAGAAAAAGAAAAGCACAUCUCUGCUCACAUAUUUCAACCUUAACUAGAUAAGCGAUACUUACCUAAACAUACCAAAAAAUCUGGUGAUAUUUGUUAAGACCCAAUAAUGCGUCAAUCAAUCUUCUAAUUUCAUAUAAGAGGCUUAAAAUUUGCUUAUGUUGUGUUUGGAUGCAAAAGACUUGAAAUAAGAGAUUUUGAUUUGAUUUUAGUUUAAACUAUGUGAAUAAAG